GGGUUCCAAGGACUUCUACUAUUGGUGCUUUUGGCCUUCUACACUUUUGCCUUUCCACUAUGACAGGUGCAUUAUGUUCAGUGUACUACCAGACUAACUUCAGAUUCCUACCUCGGGAUCAAACUAACAGACUUUGUUUCAGCUUCAAAACUUUUAAUUUCAACCAAACAUCUGCAGAGCAGAUGUUCAUAAGCUGCCAUCUUAGAGCCACAAUAAAACAAAAGUCUAGAAGCCAUCAGAAUAAAGCCUGUUUCUUCCACAAACCCACCUUCAGAUGGCGGUCCCUAGAGGGAGACAGUGCUCUGUGUGAAUGCUGUAACUCUGACUGCUCAGGACUGACUGGAGUGAUGAACCAAGGCCAUCCAGAGACAGGUCUCAGAGCGCUUCAUAAACAAAUGCACAAUGAGAAGUUUGAGGCUCACAGGACAACUGGACCUCUUCUCAUUGUACAUGACUCCUACUGGACAGGGCAGUUAAAGAAGUCUUCUCCAGGUUCAGAGUUUGCUUAGUUUGGGAUGGUGUUCUUCAGAUCACAUUGAACAUUCUCUGUAUCCAAACCCCUCAUGCCAAGUUGAUGACAAAGAGCUCAAUUUUGCUCUCAUCUGUCCAAAGCUCCAACUCCAAGCCUUCUCUAAAUUAUUUACAUGUUCACAGGCAAAUUUAAGACAGACCUGUUCACCUCUUUUAUAGCAGAGAGCUGCGAGAUUUCAAUCCACUCCACAGUAACAUUGUUACCAAAAGUGUUCUUGGUGACUGUGGUCUCCUCUGCUUUUAGAUCAUUACCAAGCUCCACCCAUGUAGUUGUGAGCUGAUCCCUCAGCUUUCACUUGAUCUCACCUUAUGAAGGGAGGUCUGUAGGGAGCAAGUUUCUUGAUUUCCAAAGAUGGCACUGUGCCACUAACCUUCUUAGUGACGGUCAAGGAGCCAAUAUCAGCCUUGUGCAGAUCUGCUAUGUUCUCCCUGGUCUUUUUUAAAAGCUCUUUGGUCUUACCCAUGAUGGUGGAGAGGUUAGGAAAGAUUCACAUAAGCAGGUGUGUUUCAGAUUGUUUUAUCAUCCACAUGGACUCAUCAUCAAUCUGUGGAAGCCAGAAUUGCUGCCAAGUUGCAGCCUAGCUUCAGAAAAUUCCUGAUCGUUUGUAAAGUUUCAACCAACCUAAUAAUGGACAUAGUGAUGAUGAAGCUGUACCUUAACCAAGGCUGAUUGAAGAAACCGAGCAGCUAAUUAUAUUAACUGAAGAAAAUGUUGUUUGUCACUCAGCCACGAUGAGCUGGAAACAAACCUUCAAAGACAUCUAGAAAAAUAGGAAGCAAACUACAAUGGAUCUUAAAAUAACCUGUAGGUAUCAAGUAUACCAGAAUAAACAGAUGCUUUGGGUAAAAAUGGGACAGUUAUGUGGUAACAUAUGUGCUUUGUGCCCUUUGUUCAGUAGAAACACUUGUGUUGCUCUAAAAGACUAAACAUAAGAGACCAGAUGGGAAACUUGAUAGGUCUUAUGUUGCAGUGUCUAGUCCUAUUACACUGCUUUCUUGUUAUUGAUAUGUUAUAAGCAAGCAGCUCUAUGAAUGUGGUUGAGAAGUCCACCUGAAAAAAUAGUAAGACCUUUCUUCAAUAGGUUUUUCCCUCCUUUCUUUCUACAAAUUACAGAAUAAAGCAGUACUAUUUUCUCAUUUCACAAUGUUUAGUUAUGAUGAACAGAAAAGGAGUGUUGUUCUAUUGUAUGAAUCAAUACAAGCUGAGAUAAGUGAAGAGGUAUUAAGUGUCCUUUUGAUGUUUGUCCUUUUCUAGAAAAACCCUUCCGGUCCUUACAGGCCAUGAGUAUGUUGACUA